ensembl:rRNA 5S_rRNA 5S ribosomal RNA
GUCUACGGCCAUACCACCCUGAACGCGCCCGAUCUCGUCUGACCCUGGAAGCUAAGCAGGGUCGGGCCUGGUUAGUACUUGGAUGGGAGACAUAAGAGUGCAAGAUGCACCUGCCU